UCUGGCCAGCUACGUCCCCA
rnacentral:miRNA from 1 species